UACGUAGGGACCAAGCGUUGCUCGGAAUCACUGGGCGUAAAGCGCACGUAGGCGGGUUGUUAAGUCGGGGGUGAAAUCCUGGAGCUCAACUCCAGAACUGCCUUCGAUACUGGCGACCUUGAGUCCGGGAGAGGUGAGUGGAACUCCGAGUGUAGAGGUGAAAUUCGUAGAUAUUCGGAAGAACACCAGUGGCGAAGGCGGCUCACUGGCCCGGUACUGACGCUGAGGUGCGAAAGCGUGGGGAGCAAACAGG
rnacentral:rRNA from 1 species